AGCUCAAAGUUGCAAAUUAUAUUUUAUUCAGGGAGUUAACUGAGUACUACAGCCUGGGAAACAGGCUCUCAGAUAGCCCCGAGAUACUGUUCCAAAGAGGUAAGGGAGGAUCCAGAAUAUACAGAAGUUUCUGUUGAAAACAAAUAAACGUCUAUUUGAACAUCAAAAGAGUACAGCUCAUCACAAAAAAAGACAUCUUGAGUUAAUGAUUUUAGUGCUUUUCUAUGUAUGAAACGAUGCAAAAAGUCUGAGCCCAUUGAAAUUAUUCCUUAGAUAUGCAUCUUAACUGUCUAGGGUGAGUAUCCUGUUUUUCUCCAUCCUGAGUUCCUCUGAGGGUGCACCAUCUCGGGGGCGGCGGGGUUGGGCAGCUGCAAUGGUUGAUGGCUUGAUGAUGGGCAACUUUUCUUGUUUACUGAAAUGGCAAGCAACACUUCUUUUGUCCAUGCUUUCGUAGAUUUUCCAGAGAUCUAAGAUCAACUGGCAGGUGUUAAGGCUAUAGACAAUUAAAAGUCCUGGGAUGUCUUCUCACAAAACCAUUUUUUAUCACAAGCUUCCAUACUCCCAUGUUUUGCAUUUGAAUUUUUUAAUGGAUGAUUUUACAUUUAUCCCUAUUAAGUUUAUUCUUAUUCAUGUCAGCCUAUUCUUUUAGUUUAUUAAGACCUUUUGCCUCUCUUGGUUUCAUUUGACAUUUAAUGAAUUAGGCUUCUCUCUCAGCUUUGUCACACCUGCAGUUUUGAUAAACAUGUCUUUUGUGUCUUCAUCCAUCAUUAACUGAAAUUUUGAACUGGAUAAACUAUAGAUAGCACUUGGGAGUCUGUCACUGUGACUUCCCUUCGGGUAGGCAGUGAUUCAUUAAGCUGCUGACAUUCUUUGAAUGAAGUUGUUCAAUUAGCUACAAAUCUACUCAACUGUACUGUCAUUCACAUCAUUCCUGUCCACAGGAUGUUAAAUUCUUUGCUGAAAUUAAGAUAUAUUUUUGUCUGUGAUAUUCCCGUGAUCUCCAUGACCUGAAAAGCAGAUGUCAGGAUGCUUCCUCUGCUCAACCCUUAGGGCUUAUCAAGUAGGACAAAGCUUGGCUUUCAAAGAUCCCAAGCCAAUGGCUCCCAAGCUGGAAUCACCUGGAAGUUUUAAAACCCUGGUCUCCAGAUCACAUUCUCAGAAAUUUGGAUUACUGGCUUGGGUGUGGAUGGGCGUCAGUGUUUUUUAAAGGUCUACAGGGGAUUCUAAUAUAUAGCCAAUAAUUCUGAAAGUGGAGUUCAGACCAGCAGCAUCAGCAUCACCUGGAACUUGUUAAAAUGCAAAUUUUCACUGCACGUCCCCCAAUCCUGCUGCCUCCAAUCUGCUCCAAUCCACAGAAUCAGAAACUGCAAAGGAGGAGCUCAGGAAACUGUUUUAACAAGCCCUCCAGGAUACUGCGCGCAGAGGCCUCGCACAAAACCCUUCAGACCAUAGUUCCUGGCAUCAAACAGCACCACUCGACACCUCAGCUUGGGGACCGUGUGCAGAAGCUUCUCACAAGAUGUUGUGAUUCAAGAUGGCAGGGGUUUGGAGAUACUGCUUUCAGCCUGUCCGUUUUGCGAGAACUCUACCCUCCUUCCCCAGAAGGGGAACUCUAAGAAGCAGCACCAACCACAACCUGUCCUGGAGGGGAGAGUGUGUGUGCUCUUGAGUGUGAGUCCAUACCUCUUCAUUCUCUGACCAAAAAACAAAACAUUCUUUUGCUUCUGAACUGAACUCUGUCUCAUUCUAUUGGUGCAAGUGACACAGGGCAGGAAGAUCUUUAUUAGGGUCUGACUUGAAAGGGUAGGUAACAUUAUCACGUUAUUUGCAUGAAAAUUAAUAGAAUCUACAUCACAUAAUGUUCUAGAUAAUAGCUCUCAGACUUCCCCAGUGGUUCAGUGGUGAAGACUCUACACUUCCAUUACAGGGGGGCACAGGUUCAAUCCCUGGUUUGGAACUAAGAUCCCACAUGCCACGUUGCAAAAUGAAAAAAAAAAAAAAAGAAAGAAAAGUCUGUACUCAAAAUGACAACUCAUUUUCCUAUUAUCUCCUACUCAUCAAAGCCUUUCCUACCGUGCCCUCACCUGAAGAUCUUUUAGCCCCUCUUGGCGUGCUCACAGAACUCAUUUGCAAUAGUACCUAAAACCCCAACUAGCUUUUGUAUUUGUCUCCCCAUACCCCAUCCCCACAAAGCUAUAUAUUUGUCAAAGGGGUCAACGUCUGAUUCAGUUCUGUUCCUUUCUUCUGAGUUACCAAGAAAAGAGGAAACUGAAUUUUAUGAAUCCAUGGAAAUUGCCUGGCCGUCUGAAAGAAGGAAGGAAUGUGGAGAGGCAUGGGGAGCAAAGCUGGAUAGUUAGGCCUUGAAAACUAAGUAGAAGGAUUUACACUUCAGGUGGAAGCAACAGGGAGCUGUGUAGAGUGUGGAGUGAGUGGUGUGGAAGUGCAGGCAGAAAGAGAUGCAGACUGGAUAGAACGAAUCCAUGCUCCAACCUGUGAGCCAGCUGCUGCAUACAGAGCUGUGUUAGGCGCAUGCGUAUUAAUGCUGAGAAACAGGGUCCCCAAAGAAAACGAAGAUGAGAGGAGAAUGUCUUCUAAGGGCUGAAUCAGAGGGAGGAAAAAUAUCACUCCAAAGCUUCUAGAUCAGAUAAUUAGCAGAAGAAUGGAAAAGUUAAUUGGAAAAGGGUAGCAAUCUGGGGAAUACAGAAGCUGGGGAAGGAUGUUAGGUUACAUUUCAUUAGCUGGGUUUCUCUUUCUUUGAAGUGUCAAUUGGGCACACAGAUCUCUUAAGAUUUAAAUUCUGCUUUUUCCUAGAAAUAUAACUUAAGGGUGAAAUAACCUCAUCACUCUUCACAUUUUAAAGCAUUCUUGUUUUAUAUGCUAUCAAUGUGGGUUUUAAUUCUCUUUGGAAAAUGAAUACUUUUCUGGGUCCCAUGGGAGCUUUCCUUGUGGCACUUGCACAGACGACCAUCUGAGCAGAGUGCUUGUUAGAUAGGAUGAAAUAUCGUCUAGCGUUAGCAGGGAGACAUCACAGGCCACCCACUGGACACCCUAGGAAUGAAGAAGAGGCCAAAGGUCUCAUGUCUUUAACUGGCAAAGUACAAUUUCAAGAUUAACAAUGGCAACCCCAGUGUGCAUUACUGCUAGUGGAAACAAGCGUAUGAUAUCAUAACAGAGGAAGAAAAGGCAGCAAAUUUGCUUUCAAAGCCCACAGUGUGACAGCUUUACAAUCAUCUUUUGAACGGUGUCUGUAUUGGUUUCCUAUUGCUGCUAUAACAGAUUACCACAAAUUUAGUGGUUUAAAAUUACGCUGCCUAUCCAAGUAUUCCAGCAUUAUGCUUCCAAUGAGAGUUUUCAUCCUUACUCUACAGAUAACCAGGCAUGAACAAGCAUUAGGAUCUUCAUACUAGAAAACAGAUAAUUUCAUUUUAAAAAGAACCUGAACUCUUAGAGUAGUUACCUCUCCUAACCUCAAAAACAAAAGAUUAAUUGUUCAUUUAAUAAUUAUCUCCGGAACAUAAGAAUGAACAUAUGUUCUGUUUAUUAGCUGCAGUGUGACAAGGAGUUACAUUUAGAAAUCAUUGGAGAGACACAACAUAUUUAACGCAAACGGAAAAGCAGGACAUCAAAACAAGGCCAGUUGAGAAGUAUUUUCAGCUUUUUAUUUUUCCUACUGAAGUAAAUUAAAAGAAUUAGUCUGAGUUUCUGUGAAACCCUUUGCCAUUGAAUGCUGUGAUUGAUUGAAACACAAAUAUUGUUGAUUUCUUUGUUAAAACUAAAAUAAUUAUGUACGAAAGAUUCAAAUUGUACCUCUUUUUAUCUUCAUUGAGAUCUCUUUUAAUUGGCAAGUAUAACUGACAUAAAAUAAAAAAAACAUGCCUACAUUUGGUAAGUUUGAUAUAAUAUAAAUUUGGCACAUUGACUUAUGAAAUUGUCACCAUGAUCAAGAUAACAAAUAUGUGUACUGCCUCCAAAAGUUUCAUUUGACUUGAAAAAAAAUUUUU
ensembl:lncRNA